ACACUACUGAAGAGUCUCACAAUAGGACGAAACAGCCGUCCACUGU
rnacentral:hammerhead_ribozyme from 1 species